rnacentral:lncRNA from 10 species
GUGAGUGACAGUUUUUAAAUCCAUUACCAUUAGAAAACCACAGGUUUUAAGAAAAUUUUAUUUUCCAUUUAUAUUGAGGUACAAUUGACAUAUAGUAAAUUUCACCCUUUUAAGCACACAGUUCUUAGAAUUUUGAAAUACAGUUAUGUAACCACCACCACAAUCAAGAUACACAACAGUGCCAUCGGCCCCUAAAAUUCCCCCAUGCCUCUUUUGUAACCAUCCCCUCUUCAAACCGCAGCCCUUGGCAACCACUAAUCUGUUUUUCUUCCUGUAGUUUGGCUUUCUUAAGAAUGUCGUAUAAACUGAGUCAUGGAGUAGGUAGCCCUUGGUAUCCUGCUUCUUUCAGCUAGCAUAAUGCAUGUGAGAUCCAUUCAUGCUGUUGUGCAAAACAGUAGUUUGUUUCUUUUUAUUGCUGAGUAAGGAUUUUAUUGUAUGGAAUGUACCAGUUUGUUUAUCCAUUCUCCAGUUGAGAAACAUUUGGGUAGUUUUUAGUUCCUGGUGAUGACAGAUAAAGCUGCUGCAAACAUUCAUGUGCAUAUUUUCGUGAGGAUGUAGUUUUCAUUUCACUUGAGUAAAUGCAAAGCAGUGAGAUUGCUGGGUCAUACAGUAUCCUUCUAAUUAAAAUAUCUGACCAUGUCCCCAUCAGCCACUUGCCUCAUUUGGGACACCACCAACCAUCCUGCACGGCUGCCCAUGUUUCUGUUUCUCCAGCCCAAGCAUGCAGUUUCAGUAGGUCCUUCAGAGGCUGCCUGAAAGCAUCCCGCCUCCAGAGCCCUGUGGGUUGAAGACCGCUGUGCUCUUUUCUUUCGGCUUCACACGCUGGUUAGUCUUCUGUUUGCUUUGUCAGCACGGUACUUUUCAUUUCCUUCGUGGUGUUUUUAGGAGCUCCUGAAUUUCACAGACAAAUCCAGACCCCUGUGUGGAAAGCCUGCGGUGGUGUUCUCCGUCUUCCCACAGGACUCCCUGCAGCCAGGAAUUCUAGGGGAGCACCUGACGCGAGGUAUACGCCCAGAUGGCCUGAAGUAACUGAAGAAUCACAAAAGAAGUGAAAAUGUCCUGCCCCGCCUUAACUGAUGACAUUCCACCACAAAGGAAGUGUCAAUGGCUGGUCCUUGCCUUAACUGAUGACAUUCCACCGCAAAAGAAGUGAAAAUGGCCGGUCCUUGCCUUAACUGAUGACAUUACACCACAAAAGAAGUGAAAAUGGCCGGUCCUUGCCUUAAGUGAUGGCAUUACCUUGUGAAAGUCCUUUUCCUGGCUCAUUCUGGCUCAAAAUCACCCCCACUGAGCACCUUGUGACCCCCACUCCUGCCCGCCAGGGAACAAUCCCCCUUUGACUGUAAUUUUCCUUUACCUACCCAAAUCUUAUAAAAUGGCCCCACCCCUAUCUCCCUUUGCUGACUCUCUUUUUGGACUCAGCCUGCCUGCAUCCAGGUGAUUAAAAGCUUUUAUUGCUCACACA